rnacentral:rRNA from 1 species
CCUACGGGAGGCAGCAGUGGGGAAUAUUGGACAAUGGGGGAAACCCUGAUCCAGCAAUGCCGCGUGAGUGAUGAAGGCCCUAGGGUUGUAAAACUCUUUCAGAAGUGAAGAUGAUGACUGUAACUUCAGAAGAAGCUCCGGCUAACUCCGUGCCAGCAGCCGCGGUAAUA